CCCGGCUGUGCUGGGCGUACCGCCCGGCUGUUGGGCCGCUGCGUCCUGCGCCAGUGUGGAAGCCCUGCUCUGGUUCCUCGGAGGUCCCUGUUUUCUUUAAGUGAACGACAGAGCAAUUCCCAAGUCAAAUAAUGAAGCCUCCCAAGUUCCCUACAAGGAAACUUGAAGGCAAACUGACCUCACCAAGAACAGUGAAUAAAUCCCAGGGUGAUGAGGACCAGGCCAGCUCUCCUUAGCAGCCAUACAGUAGGACCAGGAAGAAGCCAUCUCUUUCAAGUUUGCUUCUCAGAUGGAUCAGUCCCUGGAUCUGAGUCCCAGUGUGGAGCAGUGGUGCCAGCACAGUGCAGGGAGGGAAGAAGCCAAGGAAGGGCUGGGCAUGGAUUCUGCUCUCAGCCUAGUGAGGGAAAGUAAAACCCAGCAUUCACUGCCUGGUUCCUGAAGGGUGUGGGAGCAGCUGUCAGCAGGGAGAGGAGACCCAGAGCUGGGCAGCACCUGAAGGACACAGACUCUCUCUUCACUCUGCACAACACAGCUCUUCCCAGGCCCUCUGAUAUGUAAUGGCUGUGGAGGGACCCUGAAAGUGCUGAGAAACAGCAGAAAAGCAGAAACUCACCAUCCCCUUGAUAACAGGAGCCUUGAAGGAAGAUGUGCCCCAUGUCCCCGAAAGACCUCCCAGUGACUGUAAACUGCUUUGCUAAUUUUUUUAAUUCUUUUUUUCUGGAUGCACAGUUUGCAAGGCCUUCUCCUGAAAGGGACCUGUUAGUGCAGCAUCCCAUGCUCUGUUUCCCCACCUGCACAUCCAGGGCAACUGGGCUGUCACCACAGGAGCACUGGGAAGAUGGAUUAGUUAAUAUUUGCUUAGUGCUCUGGAGAUAGCACUAUAUAAGUCUAAUUACAUUUUCUGCCCUCAUGUGAUAAGGAUGUCAUCUUGGAUUAGAGGGGAUUAGUUGUUAAUGCCAUUCCUGUACAUACCGGUCCCCUCCGGGGCUUUGAUUUCUGCUGAGAAGGUUAUUCACCCUGCUUUCAAAUCACUGAGGUCCUCCUAGGUAUGAUCAUCGUGGAAAUCAAAGAUUUUUGGUGGAUGAAAACAAGACUUGGUGCAUACCUGACUAUGCCAUCAGCCAAGCAGAGGUGUGUGCUCAGUGAGUGACAGAGUGCACUCAGUGACUCUCCUGCUCUGGCAUCCCUAAACCUUUGGCAAGGCCAGGCGAAGGGAUUGAGGGUGUCCCCUCCCUCUGCACCGAGUUCCAACACACCACCAAGUUAUUAAGUACAAAUCUAAGUUAAUGUUUAGUGCUUGCCCAAAACACGGUGAUUGCCAAAAGCCAAAACAGAGUGAGAAUACACACGCUGGUAAUGACUGCAGGGAAAAUGCCACUGAGAGGGCAUUCCCACCUCCUAGCAGCGCUGCCCUCCGGGGAGUGCUCCAAGCUGGGGACGUGUCCCAGAGGGAUGCAAGGGGCCUCUGCUCCCAUGCUGCAUGGCAGGAGCUGGGCAGCUUGCAGGGAUUUGGCUUUUUGAAGCCUGUUGCAGUGAAGCUUGCAUCCCUUCCCCACAGGGACCCUGAUGGCUCUCAGGGGACUUCCUGGAGAGCCAAGGCCCUCUGCCCUGGUUGCAGAGGUAUCACAGAUUGUUCCAAGAUCACUUUCAAGGUUCCCUUUGGAGCACUCCCAGUUGCUCCAAGCAUUAUUUUGGAGCAGGCUGUAUUUCAGCUUCCAGCUCAGCACUAAAAGGGCUGUCCUGUCUCCACCUCCCACCAGCAAGGGCUUGUCCCAGAGGAAACCCUGGAUCUGUCACCUAUGGCUGACCACUCAGGAACAGCCAAGGGUAGGGCACAGGCUCCUCUCAGCAGCAGAGGUUAAGGAUACCACCUUCUGGCUCCCAGCUGACAGGAGCAGGUUUGGCUUACCAGCAUGAUGAAGAAGCUCAUCGGAAAGGAAAACCUCCAGGGACUUCUUAAAGCUGCAUUAAAUUUUCAGAGACAGAUCCCACCAUGGUCCUUUAGCAGGGACCAGCUGCAGCCAGGUAUAAAACUGGGAGCUGCAGCAAGAAGUGGUGACCAGCAAAAGGAGUGAUCAGCAAAAUGAGCCUUUUCUGGGCUUCAUGGGGAGCACCCGUGACAGCUAAGAGGGCACAGCUGAGUGAGGAAGAGGGUGAGGGCCCCACCACGGCAUGUGAGGGCUCAGAUGAGCACAGUUCAGGCUGAUGCUGCUGGGAGCCAAACUGGGUCAGUCUGGAGGUGCUUCUCCAUCAUCAGUGGAAUGCAAAAGCAGCUGGAGCUUUCUACUUACCUGGGUUGGCUCCACAAGGCAAACACCCACCUCCAUUUGUUUCUUAUUGUUGGCCAGAAGAGCUGGUCUUUUGCAAGAGAGGGAAUAAAUCACCACCACUGUCACUCUGGGUAGGUGCUCUCCAUCCUCCCAGGGGAAGAGGUGCUGGGGUGCAGGUAGGGUACAAAAUAUGUGAGGAAAAAAAGGUUAGUUUGGUGUUUGGAACCAGACAUAUUCCAUGGAGGACACCCCACGGAGCACCAGGGGCAGCUGCAAGGCAGAGUGCAGGGGACAGGGGGCUGAAGAUGCCACCAGGGUGCCCUGGCUUGGCCCAGCCUGUCCAGAGCCUCAGCAGAGCCAUCACCCUGGGAGCCCUGAGCAUCACAUUUCUUUGGCUGCCAAGACUAACCUCCCUCCCAGCAGCUACUCCAAAUGCAGGGCAGGCAGCCAAGCUGUCAGGGAAGUCAGCAGGAUCCCUUAGCAUUUUUUAUCAAACUCAGCAUUUUUUGGGAGAACGUUUCCAUUUCAGUGAGUCAGCAGCCUUGGGAAGCGUCUGUCUGUCGGCAGUGAUGAAGCUCGAGGUGGGCACACAGGGAAAGGCCCCUGGGACACACACCUGGCCUGGCAUGGACACUGCUCAGGAGGAGACGUGCAAUGAACCUCCCUCUUUUUGGCCAAUUCUCCUCCAGUCUGUUCCUUGUUCACCAACAGAGAUGCUUGUCCAAGCUGAGUUUUCAGAUUUAAGUGGACUGACAUGUAACAGGUCAAAACAACAGGAUUCUGUUCCUUCACAUGCUUGAUCACAUCACCCCUUUACAAAAUCAGGCCUAGAACCAAGUUAACUUUAUUACUCUGUUUGUUAUGUUUUCCUCAUCUAAGUGUUUCUUGCUAAACCCAAAAUGUCUUGCCCUAUCCAGAGAAGAGAUUAAGCCCCCUGUGGAAUUGCCUCUUGCAUAUUGAGGGCUGCUCUCAUGCCUCCCUGAGCCCCUUCUGUUGCCUGUUAUCCAACCCAGGUCAAGCUUGCUGGGAGUCAUCAUGUCCUUGCUAAUCUCUGGCCUCCCUCCAACCUGCCCAUGUCUCACCCCAGUGGGAAGCCAGCUUUUCCUCGCAGGGCUUCUCUGCAAACCUCCAGUCCCUUCUUCCAGCAAGUCCUCACAAGGAUUUACAGCUUGUCACUCAGCAGGGAUGGAGCUGUUCUCGUUGCUGGAGAGAUGGAGGAGAUAGGGCAGGGGAUGCAGGCUUGGGGGUAGCCAGCAGACUGGAGACUGCAAAGAGACCAAAAAGGCUGUCAGCCCCCACUCCCUGCUCCCUCCACCAAGAGGGAUUUUUCACCCAGGGAGCUGAACCAGGUCUUACACUUCAGCUUGCAGUGCUUGAACCAGGGCUUCACCUCUCCCAAAAGGGGGUGGCUCUGAGGCUGCUCUGGAGGGGCAAGGCAGGGAGUCAGACUGGACUGGGGAACUCAGGACAAACCAGGAUCCUGGAGUCCCUCCUAGGGCAGGGCUUGGUUUCUCUCCUUCCUUGGGUUUUGGUCUUUUGUUUGGUUUUUUUUGUGUGUUACCGAGGGUGGGUUGGAGUAGGACUGUCACAUCAGGCAGGGCUCGGCUGCUCCUCAUCCUCUCCCAGCAGGGUUUGCAGGGCUGCAAACUGUAGCAGUUGCAGGUACCUCCUUGCAGGAAAAAGCAGGAAAAAACUGGCAGGGAGUGGAAACAAGUGGCAAGCAGAUUAGAAACCCAGCUCCUAUUUAUAGACCGGCAGUCAAGAAACUGCCCCUGUGACAGGGCCAUCGGUUUAACCCUUCUGGGCCCAAGCACCAACCCACCCAGGGACUCUGAGCCCACCCAGCCUGUGCCAUGAGGGAGCAUUUUGGCACAGGGGAAGCAGGAUCCUGCACCAGGGCACCUGUGGAGGGGGCAGAAGACAGGUCCAGGCACAGUGGAGCUUACAGGGGUUAUUCCUCAGCGAGGCACUGGGGAGAGAGGUGGAGUUAGGAUUUUUAAGAAGUUGGGUCACCAGGACAAGGAAAAGAAUAUCCCAAGUAUCCUGCUGCAUGGUAGACAGAGAGAGACAAAAAUAUUUCCUCUAAGAGAGAGGUAAUGAACAUGUUUUAGGGGCAGCUGCAAUGUUUCCAGCCUCUUUUGUCUCCCCUGGGCUUUGUAAGUUUGCAUGUGAUCCCUUUGAGGGCCACUGCCUGCCCCUUGUCCAGGAGUGGUUGCUGAUGCUCACGCAAGGCUGCUGCAUCCCACAGGAGUGCACUGCGACCCCUGCUCGCUGCUGCUCCUCACCAAGGGCUCCCCAGAGCUCAGAGUCUUCACCAGCCCCUGCUGCAUUUGCAGUGGUUUGAUGAAUGUAUGCUGAAGCUCCCUCUUGGCUGUUUCUGUACCUGCUGUCACUUAUGGGUGUCUUUAUGCCAUACACGGUUGUUUUAUACACUGCCAUGGCAAGACUUUCCAGCUGUUGCCUCAUUUGCUUGUGUCAAUAGCUAUUUUUACAAUAUUGCCUUUCUUUACUUCUUAAUUGAUCUAAAUCCUUUCCCUUAGCUUUCUUGUUAAAGGUGGAUUUAAAGAAAAGGACUUCAUUAUCUCGGACAUUUUUGAGUCAUUAUGAAUUUCAUCCCUGUCUCCAUUAAUUACUCAUUA